CACCCCAGGCUGAAGGCGGCCGUGGUGCCCCCCCCGCAGUGUCCUCGUCCACCUGGGCUACGGGCGGGGGGAGCUCCUGGGGCGCUCCUGGUACCGGCUCCUGCACCCCGAGGACCUCGGCCACGUGGCCCGGCAGCACCUGCGCCUCGCGGGCGCGGGGGCAGAAGCCCGGGGGGAGCUGGUGACGCGGCUCCAACGCAAGGACGGGCUGGGCUGGACCUGGGUCUACGCCCGACUGCGCCCCGAGGGACCCGCCCUGCUGGCCCACAACUUUGUCAUCAGGUGAGUGCACCCCAACAUCUGGGGGGACACAGGGGGGUGGGGGCCUCCCCUCCCCACAAGGUCCCACCAACCCUGGAGGUCCCACCAACCCUAGAGGUCC
rnacentral:lncRNA from 1 species